rnacentral:rRNA from 1 species
CCUACGGGGGACAGCAGUGAGGAAUAUUGGUCAAUGGACGAGAGUCUGAACCAGCCAAGUAGCGUGAAGGAUGACUGCCCUAUGGGUUGUAAACUUCUUUUAUAUGGGAAUAAAACAGGGUAUGCAUACCCUCUUGUAUGUACCAUAUGAAUAAGGAUCGGCUAACUCCGUGCCAGCAGCCGCGGUAAUACGGAGGAUCCGAGCGUUAUCCGGAUUUAUUGGGUUUAAAGGGAGCGUAGGUGGAUUGUUAAGUCAGUUGUGAAAGUUUGCGGCUCAACCGUAAAAUUGCAGUUGAAACUGGCAGUCUUGAGUACAGUAGAGGUAGGCGGAAUUCGUGGUGUAGCGGUGAAAUGCUUAGAUAUCACGAAGAACUCCGAUUGCGAAGGCAGCUUACUGGACUGCAACUGACACUGAGGCUCGAAAGUGUGGGUAUCAAACGGGAUUAGAUACCCGUGUAGUC